GGGAACAGGCAGAGGGUAUAAACCAAAUAGGGGUUGGAGACAGAAAAUUAAGAAAUAAUCUGAUCAAAUGUUGUUGGAAGGGACUUCAGAAGGUUUCUGGUCCAAAUCCCUGCAAAGAGCAUAUCUAGAGCAGGCUGAUGGGAGUCCCUGUGCAUCUCCCAUCCUACAGCUCCUGACUGCCUCGAUACCUCCUGUGGACUCAAUCCAGCAUCUCCAUGCAUUGCACUGGGGAGCUUCAAACUGGCCACAGCACUGCAGGUGGGAUAUCAAGGAAGGGCUGGAAGAGCCAGGGGCAACCAGAGAGUAUAAUCCCUGCACACAUACAUGCACAGGCACAUGCACACACACCCACGGAUGUUGAUUCUGAGGGGAGUAAACUGCGGCGUGAGCAAAGGAGAACAUGCAUGUGGGAGAUAAGAGGGUCUGGGACUGAAGGAUCCCAGGACUGGAACGCGUACUGGAUGGGGCUGGGACGUGUGAUGGAUGUAUUGGAGCGAGACUGGGAAGUGCAUGGACAGGGCUGGGAGCUGGGCAGGGUGAAGGGGAGGUCGGGGGGUGGAAGGC